rnacentral:rRNA from 1 species
AUGGUAUCCCCUCCUUUAAGCCCCGCCACCCCGGCGCAGCCCCAAUUCCUCUUUCCCCUCGUUUCCCGGGGGCCCAACUCCUUCCUAACCCUUGGCUCCCCGGCCCUGCACCUCGCGAUAACCCUGGGAAACUGGGUCUAAUACCGAAUAGGACCACACAACACAUGUCCUGUGGUGGAAAGCUUUUGCGGUGUGGGAUGGGCCCCCGGCCUAUCAGCUUGUUGGUGGGGUGAUGGCCCACCAAGGCGACCACGGGUAGCCGGCCUGAGAGGGUGUCCGGCCACACUGGGACUGACAUACGGCCCAAACUCCUACGGGAGGCAGCAGUGGGGAAUAUUGCACAAUGGGCGAAAGCCUGAUGCAGCGACCCCGCGUGGGGGAUGACGGCCUUCGGGUUGUAAACCUCUUUCACCAUCGACCAAGGUUCGGGUUUUCUCGGAUUGACGGUAGGUGGAGAAGAAGCACCGGCCAACUACCUGCCAGCAGCCGCGGUAAUACGUAGGGUGCGAGCGUUGUCCGGAAUUACUGGGCGUAAAGAGCUCGUAGGUGGUUUGUCGCGUUGUUCGUGAAAUCUCACGGCUUAACUGUGAGCGUGCGGGCCAUACGGGCACACUUGAGUACUGCAGGGGAGACUGGAAUUCCUGGUGUAGCGGUGGAAUGCCCAAAUAUCAGGAGGAACACCGGUGGCCAAGGCGGGUCUCUCGGGAAAGGGGUGGGGAGCGAAAGCGGGAUUGAGAUUACCCUUGGUAUUUGCCACGCCGUAAAACGGGGGGUAGUAGGGUGUGGGUUUCGUUCCUUGGGAUCCGUGCCGUAGGUAAACGCAUUAAUACCCCGCCUGGGGAGUACGGCCGCAAGGCUAAAAGUCAAAGAAAUUGACGGGGGCCCGCACAAGCGGCGGAGCAUGUGGAUUAAUUCGAUGCAACGCGAAGAACCUUACCUGGGUUUGACAUGCACAGGACGCCGGCAGAGAUGUCGGUUCCCUUGUGGCCUGUGUGCAGGUGGUGCAUGGCUGUGGUCAGCUCGUGUCGUGAGAUGUUGGGUUAAGUCCCGCAACGAGCGCAACCCUUGUGUCAUGUUGCCAGCGGGUAAUGCCGGGGACUCGUGAGAGACUGCCGGGGUCAACUCGGAGGAAGGUGGGGAUGACGUCAAGUCAUCAUGCCCCUUAUGUCCAGGGCUUCACACAUGCUACAAUGGCCGGUACAAAGGGCUGCGAUGCCGCGAGGUUAAGCGAAUCCUUUUAAAGCCGGUCUCAGUUCGGAUCGGGGUGUGCAACUCGACCCCGUGAAGUUGGAGUCGCUAGUAAUCGCAGAUCAGCAACGCUGCGGUGAAUACGUUCCCGGGCCUUGUACACACCGCCCGUCACGUCAUGGGGGUGGGUAACACCCGAAGCCAGUGGCCUAACCCUUUGGGAGGGAGCUGU